CAAUAGCGUAUAUUUAAGUUGUUGCAGUUAAAAAGCUCGUAGUUGGAUUUCGGUUAAGAGCGACCGGUCCGCCGUUUGGUGUGCACUGGUUGGUUUUAACUUCCUGUAGAGGACGUGCUCUGGGUUUAACGACCUGGACUCGGAGUCUACGUGGUUACUUUGAAAAAAUUAGAGUGUUCAAAGCGGGCUUACGCUUGAAUAUAUUAGCAUGGAAUAACACCAUAGGACUCCUGUCCUAUUUCGUUGGUCUCGGGACGGGAGUAAUGAUUAAGAGGAACAGUUGGGGGCAUUCGUAUUUCAUUGUCAGAGGUGAAAUUCUUGGAUUUAUGAAAGACGAACUUCUGCGAAAGCAUUUGCCAAGGAUGUUUUCAUUGA
rnacentral:rRNA from 1 species